GACGAACGCUGGCGGCGUGCUUAACACAUGCAGGUCGAACGGAAAGGCCCUGCUUUUGUGGGGUGCUCGAGUGGCGAACGGGUGAGUAACACGUGAGUAACCUGCCCUUGACUUUGGGAUAACUUCAGGAAACUGGGGCUAAUACCGGAUAGGAGCUCCUGCUGCAUGGUGGGGGUGGGAAAGUUUCGGCGGUUGGGGAUGGACUCGCGGCUUAUCAGUUUGUUGGUGGGGUAGUGGCUUACCAAGGCUUUGACGGGUAGCCGGCCUGAGAGGGUGACCGGCCACAUUGGGACUGAGAUACGGCCCAGACUCCUACGGGAGGCAGCAGUGGGGAAUAUUGCACAAUGGGCGGAAGCCUGAUGCAGCAACGCCGCGUGCGGGAUGACGGCCUUCGGGUUGUAAACCGCUUUCGCCUGUGACGAAGCGUGAGUGACGGUAAUGGGUAAAGAAGCACCGGCUAACUACGUG
rnacentral:rRNA from 1 species